AUUGAACGCUGGCGGCAGGCCUAACACAUGCAAGUCGAGCGAGCGGCGGACGGGUGAGUAAUGUCUGGGAAACUGCCUGAUGGAGGGGGAUAACUACUGGAAACGGUAGCUAAUACCGCAUACCAUCAGAUGUGCCCAGAUGGGAUUAGCUAGUAGGGGGGGUAACGGCUCACCUAGGCGACGAUCCCUAGCCGGUCUGAGAGGAUGACCGGCCACACGGGAACUGAGAAACGGUCCGAACUCCUACGGGAGGCGGCAGUGGGGAAUAUUGCACAAUGGGGGCAAGCCUGAUGCACCCAUGCCGCGGGGAUGAAGAAGGCCUUCGGGUUGUAAAGUACUUUCAGCGGGGAGACGUUACCCGCAGAAGAAGCACCGGCUAACUCCGUGCCAGCAGCCGCGGUAAUAC
rnacentral:rRNA from 1 species